rnacentral:rRNA from 1 species
UACGUAGGGUGCAAGCGUUGUCCGGAAUUAUUGGGCGUAAAGAGCUCGUAGGCGGUCUGUCGCGUCUGCUGUGAAAACUCAGGGCUUAACCCUGAGCUUGCAGUGGGUACGGGCAGACUAGAGGUAGGUAGGGGAGAAUGGAAUUCCUGGUGUAGCGGUGAAAUGCGCAGAUAUCAGGAGGAACACCGGUGGCGAAGGCGGUUCUCUGGGCCUUACCUGACACUGAGGAGCGAAAGCGUGGGGAGCGAACAGG